GUGGGGAAUAUUGCACAAUGGGCGGAAGCCUGAUGCAGCAACGCCGCGUGCGGGAUGACGGCCUUCGGGUUGUAAACCGCUUUCAGCAGGGACGAAGCGCAAGUGACGGUACCUGCAGAAGAAGCACCGGCUAACUACGUGCCAGCAGCCGCGGUGAUACGUAGGGUGCGAGCGUUGUCCGGAUUUAUUGGGCGUAAAGAGCUUGUAGGCGGUUGGUUGCGUCGAAAGUGCAAACUCAGGGCUUAACUCUGAGCCUGCUUUCGAUACGGGCUGACUGGAGGAAGGUAGGGGAGAAUGGAAUUCCCGGUGGAGCGGUGGAAUGCGCAGAUAUCGGGAGGAACACCAGUGGCGAAGGCGGUUCUCUGGACCUUUCCUGACGCUGAGAAGCGAAAGCGUGGGGAGCAAACAGGCUUAGAUACCCUUGUAGUCC
rnacentral:rRNA from 1 species